rnacentral:pre_miRNA from 1 species
GAUCGGCAUGGGAGGGUUUGGGAGUUGAGUUUGGACAAUUACAUGAGAGUCACCUUCCUCAUGGGUAGAUACCUGUUUCCCAAGCUAUCAUAGGGGUUGCAGGAGCUGCCAUUGCACAGGGAGUCUUUGGACAGGAUUGUUCAUUCAGGAUUGAAGCCGCCAAUGCCAGCA